UACGUAGGGUGCGAGCGUUGUCCGGAAUUACUGGGCGUAAAGCGUGCGCAGGCGGCUUUGCAAGACAGAUGUGAAAUCCCCGGGCUUAACCUGGGAACUGCAUUUGUGACUGCAUGGCUAGAGUGCGGCAGAGGGGGAUGGAAUUCCGCGUGUAGCAGUGAAAUGCGUAGAUAUGCGGAGGAACACCGAUGGCGAAGGCAAUCCCCUGGGCCUGCACUGACGCUCAUGCACGAAAGCGUGGGGAGCAAACAGG
rnacentral:rRNA from 1 species